CCUACGGGAGGCAGCAGUAAGGAAUAUUGGUCAAUGGACGCAAGUCUGAACCAGCCAUGCCGCGUGAAGGAUUAAGGUCCUCUGGAUUGUAAACUUCUUUUAUAUGGGACGAAAACAGAUCUUUCUAGGUCCUUUGACGGUACCAUAUGAAUAAGCACCGGCUAACUCCGUGCCAGCAGCCGCGGUAAUACGGAGGGUGCAAGCGUUAUCCGGAUUCACUGGGUUUAAAGGGUGCGUAGGCGGGUAGGUAAGUCAGUGGUGAAAUCCUGGAGCUCAACUCCAGAACUGCCAUUGAUACUAUCUAUCUUGAAUAUUGUGGAGGUAAGCGGAAUAUGUCAUGUAGCGGUGAAAUGCUUGGAUAUGACAUAGAACACCCAUUGCGAAGGCAGCUUACUACGCAUAUAUUGACGCUGAGGCACGAAAGCGUGGGGAUCAAACAGGAUUAGAUACCCUGGUAGUCCACGCCCUAAGCGAUGGAUACUCGACAUACGCGAUACACAGUGUGUGUCUGAGCGAAAGCAUUAAGUAUCCCACCCUGGGAAGUACGUUCGCAAGAAUGAAACUCAAAGUUAGAAGUUAGGACGGCGUUGGAGACGUUCGACCGAGGACACGACGAGGGAGAGGG
rnacentral:rRNA from 1 species